GGGGGGGGUUCUGAUCGCCAGGACGGACCAACUGCAUGCCUUUGACCGACACAUACUUCAGGUGGGGGUUACCUUUAGUUUAAUAUACUCCUGUAAAAGUUAAAAAGGUGAAUAUAUAUAUAUAUAUAUAUAUAUAUAAUAUAUAAUAUAUAAUAAUAUACUAUAAUAUAAUAUAAUAUAAUAUAAUAUAAUAUAAUGAUCAAUCAAACUUGAACACAUUGAUUGAUUACUGAUAUUGUUCCUGACUGCAGGUUGUAGCCAGAGACGAAGAAUCAGGAGACGAAGUUUCAGCUUCAGUGGACAUUGAAGUCCUGCAGAGAGGACAGCAAGGUGAGAACAACAGGAAGUUACCUUGUGUACACACACACACACACACACACACACACACACACACACACACACACACACAGAGCAGGAUGAACAUCCUGUGAGGGGCAGUGGGUUGUAAACUGAGAUGGUUGGGGUCAUUAAACUGCUCCACUGAUCUCUAAUUGAUCAAAAACUGAUCAGUAAUCUGUUUCCUUAAUGAGAUAACGGCAACUGGUGCGUUCACUGACAUUAACUCCUUACUCUGUAGUCCCUCGUGGUGCGUUCACUGACAUUAACUCCUUACUCUGUAGUCCCUCGUGGUGCGUUCACUGACAUGAACUCUCUCCUCUCUGUAGUCCCUCGUGGUGCGUUCACUGAGCAGCCGUUGUUCGGAGACGUGGACAGCAGGCUGGCUGGAGGAAUCGCAGCGAUGAUCCUGCUGCUGUUUCUGUCUUCUGCUCUGUUUCUGCUGCUUCGAACCGUGAGGAGAAGACGACAAAGAAACGCUGACGAACACACACCCGUUGCUCUGGGAAAACAUCCCAACGUGACGUUAUCGUGGUUUCACACGGUGAGCUCCAGUCGACCGGCGUUCUCAGCGGACGAGUCUCCGUUCAGCAGCAGAAGUUUCAGGCAACAGUCUUCUUCAAAGUCGGGGAGUUUCCACGGCAGACAGGGAGUCUACACCAGGAGACAGUCGCUGCUUCCUCCUCCUUCAUCAUCACCAUCAUCACCAUCAUCAUCAAACAUCUCCAGCGUUCCAGGAGGAAGAUCCAGACCGCACACCGAUCUGUUUCCUGUCCCAGAGAAACCGGAGGGUCAACCUGAGGACACAGAAACCCUCAGGUUUUAUGACACCAGAGGGGGUGUGCAGGGCCCAGGUGGUGACAUCACAGCAGAGACUCUCAGAGAGACGACGACAUGAAAAACAAACCAAUCAGAGGCCUCAGAGGACCCGCACAGGGAGAUGGUCUCUGAAGAGUCCACAUCAGAGGGAACGUCUCUGCGGCAGUCAAUCACAGGCCAGGAACAUUAAUCUGACUCUCUGCGGCAGCCAAUCACAGGCCAGGAACAUUAAUCUGACUCCCUGCGGCAGCCAAUCACAGGCCAGGAACAUUAAUCUGACUCCCUGCGGCAGCCAAUCACAGGCCAGGAACAUUAAUCUGACUCCCUGCGGCAGCCAAUCACAGGCCAGGAACAUUAAUCUGACUCCCUGCGGCAGCCAAUCACAGGCCAGGAACAUUAAUCUGACUCCAGGCGGCAGCCAAUCACAGGCCAGGAACAUUAAUCUGACUCCAGGCGGCAGCCAAUCACAAUCUUUAACAAUAAAUCAUGUUUACUUUUCGGUUGUUGUUGUUUUUAUUUUCGUGGAGUCAAUAUUUCUGAUUAAUGUUCCCACAGAUGAAAAUGUGCAGACGUGUUGGAAGUAUUGAUCCGUACCGCAGUGGCCUGGGUUCGAGUCCGGUCUCCCUCAUUUAAUUUGGACUGUUUCUGAGAUCUGAUCAAUAACCUGAUCAGUCUGAUGAUUGAUGUUGAGAUCUGAUGAAGUCUCUGUGCAGUAAUAAAGUCACAUUAACUCUGUGUGUAAUUAUUGAUCCUCCACAACUUUAUGUAUCACCUGUUAAAAGUCAGAUUAUUGAUUCAGUAUGAGUGAAUUAUUGAUCAGUGACGUCUGAGCGGUUAAAAAGUUGAACUGAUUGAUGAUCAACACCAACAAGAUUUUCUCUGUUACUCUCUUUCACUUCUUGUCGUCUUCCUGCUCAGUUUAAUAAACCCAGAAGAAGAAGAAGAAUCUGUGUGUUUGUUUAUGUUGACUGAUGAAAGUCACUCAGGAACCAAUCAGCUGCCGGAGCUGCAGCUCCCCCUGCUGGCCAGAGUGAGAUCAUCUCUGAUAAUAAACUGUUCAUUAUUCUGAUGUUGUUAAAGUGGACUACAAAAUAUUGAAUGAAACUACAAACAUGUAACAUUCCACAAAAAAAACAAACAAACAAACAAACAAACAAACAACCAUCCGCACACAUUAACAUCCAUCAUGUGUAUCCACUGAUAUAGUGACCUCCUGUCUGCAUUAUUUCACAGAAGAAGAAGAAGAAACACACUGAUGUCAGGUUUAUGUUCU
rnacentral:lncRNA from 15 species